rnacentral:rRNA from 1 species
AGAGUUUGAUCCUGGCUCAGAACGAACGCUGGCGGCAGGCUUAACACAUGCAAGUUGAGCGGGAUUGAUUGGUAGCUUGCUAUUGAUCAUGAGAGCAGCGCACUGGUGAGUAACACGUGGGAAUAUACCUAUUGGUGGGGGAUAACAAUUGGAAACGAUUGCUAAUACCGCAUAAGCCCUGAGGGGGAAAGAUUUAUUGCCGAUAGAUUAGCCCGCGGAAGAUUAGGUAGUUGGUGGGGUAAUGGCCUACCAAGCCGACGAUCUAUAGCUGGUCUGAGAGGACGAUCAGCCACAUUGGAACUGAGACACGGUCCAGACUCCUACGGGAGGCAGCAGUGAGGAAUAUUGGGCAAUGGAGGCAACUCUGACCCAGCCAUGCCGCGUGAGUGAAGAAGGUUUUCGGAUUGUAAAGCUCUUUCGGACAGGAAGAUAAUGACGGUACUGUCUAAAGAAGCCCCGGCUAACUUCGUGCC